AUACCUUCGAUAAUUAAUACAUCUCUUAAUUAAAUUCAGUAUACCCCUUAAAUAUAUACGACGAAGGUAUUUUUGACUCCCUUUAGUAGAGAUCUGGAUGAUGCAGCAUUCAGAUCUCUUUA
rnacentral:sRNA from 1 species